rnacentral:rRNA from 1 species
GCUUACGGCCACACCCGCCUGGUUCACGUUUGAUCUCGGAAGCUAAGAUAGGUUGGGCCUGGUUAGUACUUGGAUGGGAGACCGCCUGGGAAUACCAGGUGCUGUAAGCU